CGGGAACAGUGCUAGCUGUGUGGCUGUGCUCCAAGCUCAGAUCCUGCGCUGUUUGCUGUUUCAGGAGGCUCUAACUGCCUUCGCUCUGCUCCACCCUCAGGCAUCACUGCGCUGCUCUCUGACGCUUCUUCAGUUUCACAGGGUCCCACAAAUACAGUCUCCAUUCCCCUCACUUUGCUCUUUUCUCCCUGGGGCCCUACUGGUAUGUUCUCACUUCCUUCCACAAUUACAGUGAUAGCCCCAGCUAGGCCAAGCCAAGUCUGUAUUUUUUUAAUUCCUUUUUAAAUUACCGUGAUGACUGUAGACAUUCUGGGGAGAUGUAUGCAGGGAGAGCAAGAGGCAGACACACUCUCACGGAUCUUCUCUCUUCCUGACAUUGAUUGUUUAAGCACUAAACCAUUCGCUGACUCUUGUGACUCUAAAUGAUGUGGGGCUUUUUUGAGGUUUUCCUCCCCACAGCUACAGAAACCGCACUGGAGCAUGAGUCUCUCUAAUGUGAGGGCUUCCACCUGUGAUUGCGGAGUGAGGAUGCUGCUGGUUCCAUCUCCUUUUCUGCCAUCACCGUUCCUGUGGUUUCUGCUUAGUUACAUAUUCAUUUUUAUAAUGCAAUUAUCUUGUGGGAUGAAGGAGGGGAAGACACCCUAAUUAGCUGCUUAAAGCACUUUAAAACUGCAUGUGUCCAUGUCCUUAAAGGAGACAAAACUGUGGAGUGGAUGCUGUUGCACUGUGCUGCAUGUUUCCAGUGCUGAACAUUGCAGAUACACUGGACUGCAGUUUUGCCAUGCUCUGAACAUUUGCUAUACUGCACUCCAGAUGUGGCUGCCUUUCAUAGACAGAAUGCAGCAGAAACAAGCAGUUGAGCACCUGAUCUCUCUGCCUUCAACUCUUCCCUUUCACAAGGAGCCAUGCAAUAAGUGCUCACGUGUCUUUGAGGAAGCAGCUUUGCAGUGGCACCUCACACCUUUCAAAUUCCAGUCUGGUCUUUCCCAGACAACAGCGACUGCAGGUGGAGAGGCAGCCAGGGAACUCUCACGGUCACCUUUUACUUUUGCGACUCUGCAGACAAACCUUGAGCAGACACAUGAGUUGUGGUAAGCCAGCACUGUACUGCCCAAACUUACUCCCACCUCAGAGAAGAUCCUAGCAGUACAUCAACCCCAAUGCUUCUCCUCCUUGUUGCAAUUUGAGAACUGUGGACAUACACUAAAUUUCUUCCACAGAUUUAUUUUGCCCAAAUGAGGCUGUUUUUACUAGCUGUAUUUUUUACUAAAUUUUUACUAAAUGCCACCAAAAAUUCACAAAGUACUGAAUUUUGGGCCUUGUGGCAAUAGGUGAAAUAUAGAGUAAAUGUAUUGAUUUCAUUGCAUUUUCCCAGAGGAUGCAAAUCAGAAUUAAACCACAGGAAUCAAGAGUUCAGCAUGGGUGUUAUCCAGUUUUUUGGAAUUAAGCUGAGCAAGUUCCAGAUCAGAUACACAGUGGCAUACCUGCUUCUGCACUACGAGCAAAUGCAAAGCCAGCUAUAACCCUACCUUCCACCAAACUCCCCAUCUAUGAGAAGAUGUUUUCCCUAGCAAGGAGGGACAUUGUACAUAAUCUAAUGAUUAUGUAGGAUCUAGGAAACAGGAUUUCUGAUUUCCUCAUCCCGCUGUGCCACUGAUUUACUGCAUGGUCCAAAGGAAAACAUUUUUGCAUUCUUUUUCUCUGUUAAUAUACAUGUGAAAUAAUACUGUGCUUCAUGUAAGAUUUUGUUUUCAAAACAUAAUGUGCCUCAGUACAGUGACUUUGUCUGAGAUAAGAGGCCAUGAUAGGAAGUUACCACUGCCUAUCUCUGUGUGAGGUGAGCUGGUGGAAUCUGGGUGUCUGAGCUGCUGAACACCUGUACCUCAAGCUGAAAUCACUGUAUAAGUCAUGGUGCCAAAUAUACCAGGAAAUAAGGUCACUGAUUUUGUGUGCUGAACUUUGAGGUACAUGCACAGAAGGAAGUAGAAGAGCAGACAGCAUCAUUGUCAACCUUCCCAGGGACAUAAGCAGGUUCCACCUCAGCAAAAUGUUCAGCUGAUGAUGAAAGCUGUAGGAAAGAAUGUUUGUUUCAGUUGGUUCUGGCAAAAAAAGGACACGGUGGGUAGCCGUAUCCCAGCUUUGAGAAUUUAAGUGAGUUGUUCUGCAUCUCCUCCUUGGCUUGGGGACUUUGCAUGGUCACAAGCUGGAUGUGUGGUGUAGCUGAUGGAGGAUUGUACCCGCAGUGCAUGCAAAGUGCAUAAAUGUGGCUGAUCACAAAACCAGGAGUACCUGAAAGAACAGCCACGCAACGGGCCCCAGUCUCAGAUAAUGGGCUUGACAGCGGUACCAACACCCUGCAAAGUCCUGCUCUGGGUGGGAAUCUGUGCACAGCUAGUGAAUCUCCUCGGACAGGCAUGCACCUCGUUCUGGAAGGAUUGUUAGGAUCUCUGCUGAUCCAGACUGCCUAGAAAGCUGGAUUUGAAGGGAUGGGAAACUGCAAAAGUCAGGGCUUUUUGGCUUUUUUUUUUUUUUUUUUUAGGUAGUCUGAUUUGUAACUAUGUAAAUUCAUAUGAUUAUAUUCUGAUGAUCUAAACACUGUGGGUCUGGAACAAAUACUGGAAUUCCUUUCCAAAAUAAAUCCCAACACUGACAGCGUUGAGAGGUCUGAUCCUUCUGCAGUUGUACUGUGUUUGCAUUUUAUGCUUCGUGUGUGUGUGCACAAAUGAGAGUGCCAUUGCUGUGCAGAAAAAUGUGUAAAAACGUGAAUGGGUGCAAGUGCCUGUACAUAAGAACCUGUACAGAAGGUUUUGUGUGUGUGUGUGUGUAUGUUUGUAAGAGAGGACAUAUGCAUGUCUAUGACCUUCUGUUUAUGUGGGAGUAUAUAUGUGUGAGAAUGUAUACAUGUAUGUAAUUUUGUGCUUCUGUGGGGAGAGAGGAAGGGAAAGCAUGGCAAAGUCAUUUGAACCUGUUUGAAGGUCAGGUCUCCCCAAGGUUAUCUGCUUUUUUUCCCUUGAAUCUGUAAAGUAAUGGUAUUCACACUCACUACUUGAGAAGUGUUUCUUUUUAUAGCUCUUCCAGAUGACAAAUAAUGCCUGUUUUUGAAGUCCUUUUUAAGUCAUUGUUCCCUGGAUGCAGAUACCAUGUUUGGGUGCAGGAGGGGAACAGAGCACAGAGCUAUUU
rnacentral:lncRNA from 13 species